rnacentral:rRNA from 1 species
GGGAACUCAAAGGAGACUGCCGGUGAUAAACCGGAGGAAGGUGGGGACGACGUCAAGUCAUCAUGGCCCUUACGGGUAGGGCUACACACGUGCUACAAUGGCGCGUACAGAGGGCAGCCAACUUGCAAGAGUGAGCGAAUCCCAGAAAGCGCGUCGUAGUCCGGAUCGGAGUCUGCAACUCGACUCCGUGAAGUAGGAAUCGCUAGUAAUCGUGGAUCAGAAUGCCACGGUGAAUACGUUCCCGGGCCUUGUACACACCGCCCGUCACACCAUGGGAGUGGGUUGCACCAGAAGUAGUUAGCUUAACCUUAGGGGGAGCGAUUACCACGGUGUGAUUCAUGACUGGGGUGAAGUCGUAACAAGGUAGCCCUAGGGGAACCUGGGGCUGGAUCACCUCCUUA